rnacentral:rRNA from 1 species
UGGGGAAUAUUGCACAAUGGACGAAAGUCUGAUGCAGCAACGCCGCGUGAAGGAUGAAGGGUUUCGGCUCGUAAACUUUUAUCGAUGGGGAUAAAGGACUUCGGUCUUGAUAGUACCCAAGUAAGAAGCCCCGGCUAACUACGUGCCAGCAGCCGCGGUAAUACGUAGGGGGCAAGCGUUAUCCGGAAUUACUGGGUGUAAAGGGUGAGUAGGCGGUAUUGAAAGUCACAUGUGAAAUGCUCGGGCUCAACCCAAGGACUGCAUGAGAAACUUCGAUACUAGAGUACAGAAGAGGUAAGCGGAAUUCCUAGUGUAGCGGUGAAAUGCGUAGAUAUUAGGAAGAACACCGGUGGCGAAGGCGGCUUACUGGGCUUGUACUGACGCUGAUACACGAAAGCGUGGGGAGCAAACA